rnacentral:rRNA from 1 species
AUUGAACGCUGGCGGCAGGCCUUACACAUGCAAGUCGAACGAGUGGCGGACGGGUGAGUAAUGUCUGGGAAACUGCCUGAUGGAGGGGGAUAACUACUGGAAAAGGUAGCUAAUACCGCAUACCAUCGGAUGUGCCCAGAUGGGAUUAGCUCUUAGGCGGGGUAAAGGCUCACCUAGGCGACGAUCCCUAUCUGGUCUGAGAGGAUGACCAGCCACACUGGAACUGAGAAACGGGCCAGACUCCUACGUGAGGCAGCAGUGGGGAAUAUUGGACAAUGGGCGCAAGCCUGAUGCAGCUAUGCCGCGGGUAGGAAGAAGGCCUUAGGGUUGUAAAGUACUUUCAGCGGGGAGGCGUUACCCGCAGAAGAAGCACCGGCUAACUCCGUGCCAGCAGCAGCGGUAAUUC